GCCGGGAUAGCUCAGCUGGUAGAGCAGCGCAUUCGUAAUGCGCGGGUCGUAGGUUCGAAUCCUAUUCCCGGCA
rnacentral:tRNA from 2 species